rnacentral:rRNA from 1 species
GUGCCAGCAGCCGCGGUAAUACGUAGGGGGCAAGCGUUGUCCGGAAUUAUUGGGCGUAAAGCGCGCGCAGGCGGUCAAUUAAGUCUAGUGUUUAAACCUAGGGCUCAACCUUAGGUCGCACCGGAAACUGGUUGACUUGAGUGCAGAAGAGGAGAGUGGAAUUCCACGUGUAGCGGUGAAAUGCGUAGAGAUGUGGAGGAACACCAGUGGCGAAGGCGACUCUCUGGGCUGUAACUGACGCUGAGGCGCGAAAGCGUGGGGAGCAAACAGGAUUAGAUACCCUGGUAGUCC